rnacentral:lncRNA from 1 species
GCUGGCUGGGGUCCCUUUCCACGACGUGGCGGCUUUGUUCUUUUGCUCUUUGCAAUAAAUCUUGCUACUGGUCAUUCUUUGGGUCCACACUGCUUUUAUGAGCUGUGAUACUCACCGCGAAGGUCUGUAGCUUCACUCCUGAAGCCAGUGAGACCACGAGCCCACUGGGAGGAACAAACAACUCCAGAUGCGCCGCCUUAAGAGCUGUAACACUCACCACCAAGGUCUGCAGCUUCACUUCUGAGCCAGCGACACCACGAACCCACCAGAAGGAAAAAACUCCGAACACAUCCGAACAUCAGAAGGAACAAACUCCAGACGCGCCACCUUAAGAGCUGUAACACUCACCGCGAGGGUCCGCAGUUUCAUUCUUGAAGUCAGUGAGACCAGGAACCCACCAAUUCGGGACACAGGAGGAUCACUUGAGCCCAGGAGUUCAAGACCAGCCUGGGCCAUAUGGCGAGACCCUGUCUUUAAAAAAAAAAAAAAAACAUAGGAAACACUGAAAGGGAAUGAUGUCAGGUGAAGAUACAUAGAAAGUGCCAUUUACAGGGAAUGGGUGUUCAUUAGAUCCCAAAUCUGCGGGCACCUUGAUCUUGGAUUUCCCAGUCUCCAGAACUGUA